rnacentral:lncRNA from 10 species
CCCCUAUCCUGUGGCCAUAAAAAAGACUUCAGCUGGCAGAGCAACACAAGCGGCUGAGCGGUGAGCAGAGAAGCAGCAAGAGUGUUGAAGACUACAGAUAGACGCAGCUAACUUCAGAUGGUGCGGCUUCAGGGAAAGAUGACCCUCUUUCACCGUCUGCUUUCCAGUACCCAUCCCACCAGGAGCCACCACUCAAUCAAAUCUUCCGCAUACACUACUCUUCAAUCCGUUCAUAUGACCUAAUUCUUCCUGGACGCCGGACAGGUACCCCGGUGCCGAGAGGCCAGGGCUUGGACGCUGCUGUGAGGCCCGCACAGAGCCUAUUCCCGCCAGAGAGGAGUGACCGGCCGGUUCCAGCAUUCGGUCGCUCCGGUUCCCGCACUCGCACGCUCUGCCGCCAGGAGUGGCAGGAGGCGAGCUGAGUGAAAUGAGCUGCUCCAGUUCCCGCCCACGAAGGGGGUUAAGAUGAAGGGAACAAUCCUGUCUCAUCUGGGGGCCUGUCCAGGAUAUGAAAAACAAGUAUCACUCCAUCACCCAGGCUGGAGCACAGUGGUGCAACCUCAGCUCACUGCAAGCUCUGCCUCCUGGGUUCGAGUGAUUCAUGUGCCUCAGCC